CCUACGGGUGGCAGCAGUAGGGAAUAUUGCACAAUGGGCGAAAGCCUGAUGCAGCAACGCCGCGUGCGCGACGAAGGCCUUCGGGUCGUAAAGCGCUUUUCGGGGAGAUGAGGAAGGACAGUAUCCCCGGAAUAAGGCUCGGCUAACUACGUGCCAGCAGCCGCGGUAAAACGUAGGAGCCAAGCGUUAUCCGAAUUCACUGGGCGUAAAGCGCGUGCAGGCGGUCUGAUAAGUUGGAUGUAAAAGCUCCUGGCUCAACUGGGAGAGGACGUUCAAUACU
rnacentral:rRNA from 1 species